rnacentral:rRNA from 1 species
AACGAACGCUUGCGGCGCGCCUAAUACAUGCAAGUCGAGCGAGAAAGUUCUUCGGAAUGUGUACAGCGGCGGACGGGUGAGGAAUACGUAGAUAAUCUGCCUAAAGAGGGGAAUAACUACUCGAAAGAGUAGCUAAUACCGCAUAAGACCACAGGGGCUUCGGCUCUAGGGGUAAAAGGUUUCGAUAGCUUUAAGAUGGGUCUGCGCCCGAUUAGCUAGUUGGUGAGGUAAUGGCUCACCAAGGCUACGAUCGGUAACUGGUCUGAGAGGAUGGCCAGUCACACUGGAACUGAGACACGGUCCAGACUCCUACGGGAGGCAGCAGUAGGGAAUAUUGCACAAUGGGCGAAAGCCUGAUGCAGCGACGCCGCGUGAGUGAUGAAGGCCUUCGGGUUGUAAAACUCUGUGAUAUGGGAAGAUGAUGACGGUACCAUAUCAGAAAGGACCGGCUAACUUCGUGCCAGCCGCCGCCGUAA